ACUGGAAUGGGGUAAGUUGUGCUCUUAACCUUAACAUUGAGAGUUAAGGUGAAGCAGAUGAAAUGGAGAUGAGGGGUGUGCCUCAUAGCUCUUAUCCCUGGUCUGGGAGAGCUUUGAAUAAUAGAAGGUGUGGGAGUUCAGAAAGUUGGAACUCUUCUCCACAAAGAUUAGACUCUAUAAGAUCUUGGGUUAAGAUCCACAAUGCAUCAACAUGUUAUGUGAGCAAAGGGAUGACACACUGAAUAGCAGGAGAUGGAUUACACAUCUCUUCUAUCUGCCAAUUGCCUUAUCAAAGGACUUUUCCUGCUUAGCACAAAGUUAAACACACUAAGACAUUGCCUCUUAAGGAGGGCUUCAGACAGGUGCCUGACC
rnacentral:lncRNA from 1 species